rnacentral:rRNA from 1 species
GGAUCAUUACCGAGUUUUCAACUCCCAAACCCCUGUGAACAUACCUCGACGUUGCUUCGGCGGGACCGCCCCGGUCGCCCCUCGCGGGCGGACCGGAACCAGGCGCCCGCCGGAGGACCACAAACUCUUGUUUCCUAAUAGUGGCAAUACUCUGAGUAAAACAAAAAAAAAUAAAUCAAAACUUUCAACAACGGAUCUCUUGGCUCUGGCAUCGAUGAAGAACGCAGCGAAAUGCGAUAAGUAAUGUGAAUUGCAGAAUUCAGUGAAUCAUCGAAUCUUUGAACGCACAUUGCGCCCGCCAGUAUUCUGGCGGGCAUGCCUGUUCGAGCGUCAUUUCAACCCUCAAGCCCCAGCGGCUUGGUGUUGGGGACCGGCCCCGCGCCGCCCCCGAAAUGCAGUGGCGACCUCGCCGCAGCCUCCCCUGCGUAGUAGCACAAACCUCGCACCGGAGCGCGGAGACGGUCACGCCGUAAAACGCCCAACUUUCUUAGAGUUGACCUCGGAUCAGGUAG